AAAGUCGUAACAAGGUCUCCGUAGGUGAACCUGCGNAGGGAUCAUUAUCGAAUGAUCAUCCUUGAUCUUCUCACCCUCAAACCAUCGUGGACACAAAGAUGUGCUUCGGCGCCUCCGAGCGCCGCCUUUAUGCCUCAUCAAUGUCUUGUCUGAAUCAAAAACAAAAUGUCAAAACUUUCAACAAAGGAUCUCUUGGCUCUCGCAUCGAUGAAGAACGUAGCAAAGCGCGAAAUGUAGUGUGAAUUGCAGAACAUUGUGAAUCAUCGAAUCUUUGAACGCACAUUGCGCCUCCCUUCACCGGGAGGCAUGCCUGUCUGAGCGUCAUUUAAAACCAAUAAAUCCAUCUGGAUUUGCCUUGGGCCCUGCACCGACGGUGCAUCGCCUCGAAGGCAUAGGUCUUUAUCUGCGGACGAGUUCCUCUAGGGCUUACCGUAGGGUCGACCAUCCUGACCGGUCGCUUCGGCGACUGACCAUUUGACCUCAGAUCAGGUAGGAAGACCGCCUGAACUUAA
rnacentral:rRNA from 1 species